ensembl:lncRNA
CCUCGCAGUGACCCCAGCCGUGCUGACCUUUAAAUGACCCAUGUUUGACCUUAAAAUGGAACCCAUAUUGUGACCUUAAAUGACCCCGUAUUGUGACCUUAAAUGACCCCCAUAUUGUGUCCUUAAAUGACCCCAUAUUGUGACCUUAAAUGACCCCAUAUUGUGACCUUAAAUGACCCCAUAUUGUGACCUUAAAUGACCCCAUAUUGUGACCUUAAAUGACCCCGUAUUGUGACCUUAAAUGACCCCGUCCCCAUAUGACCUUGAAUAACCCCUAUCUCUGGAUGACCUGGAGUAACCCCGUCCUAUGGCUGACCUCAGGUGACCCCGUGACCCUUAGUGACCUCAGGUGACCCCACAUUGGGAGUGACCUGGAGUAACCCCAUCCUAUGGGUGACCUCAGGUGACCCCGUGACCCCAUGUGACCUCAGGUGACCCCAUAUUGUGACCUCGGGUGACCCCAUCCCCAUAUGACCUUGAAUAACCCCCAUCUCUGGAUGACCUGGAGUAACCCCGUCCUACGGGUGACCUCAGGUGACCCCAUGACCCUUAGUGACCUCAAAUGACCUUUGGUGACCUCAGAUGACCCCUGUGACCUAAUUAGUGACCUCAGAUGACCCCAUAUUAUGAAUGACCUCGAGUAACCCCAAUCUAGGGCUGACCUCAGGUGACCCCGUGACCCCAUGUGACCUCAGGUGACCCCACGUGACCUCAGGUGACCCCAUGUGACCUCAGGUGACCCUCACCUUCCUCCUCCUCGUCUCCAUGGCGACCGCUUCGGUCCCACAGUCCGUCUCCAUGGUGACGGUUGCCAUGGUGAUGAUGGUCGCCAUGUUUGUCCUCGUGGUUGCCAUGGUGAUGGUCGCCAUGUUUGUCCUCGUGGUUGCCAUGGUGAUGGUUGCCAUGGAGAUGGUCGCCAUGGUGACGGUCGCCAUGUUUCUCCUCACGGUUGCCAUGGUGAUGGUUGCCAUGGAGACCCCCGUGCUGCCCCCCCCCCUUCUGUUGGUCGCCAUGGUGACCGUGGUCGCCAUGUUUCUCGCUAUGGUCGCCAUGGUGACCGUGAUGGUUGCCAUGGAAACCAUGAUGAUGAUGAUGGGGGUCGCCAUGGUGACCACCAUGAUGGUUGCCAUGGAGAUCGCCAUGAUGCUGGUUGCCAUGGAGAUGCUCAUGGAGGAUGCUGCUCAGCCGGCUCUGAUGGUCGCCAUGGUGAUGCUGGUUGCCAUGGUGAUGGUUGCCAUGGAGAUCAUGAUGCUGGUUGCCAUGGUAAUGGUUGCCAUGGAGGUCGCCAUGAUGCUGGUUGCCAUGGAGAUGAUGCUGCUGUUGGUUACCAUGGUCCCCGCUCUUGCUGUGGUCGCCAUGGUGACCGCCAUGAUGCUGGUUGCCAUGGAGACCGUGAUGCUGGUUGCCAUGGAGACCGUGAUGCUGGUUGCCAUGGAGAUGGGCUCCCAGCUGGUUGCCAUGGGGCUCUGUGUUGCCAUGGGAACGGCUGCCGUUGCCGUGGUGAUGGAGCUGCAGCUCUAAGAGGCCGAUCUUCUUCUGCAGCGCCUCCCGCAGCCCAGAGACAUUGCGGCUGUGCUGGGGGGAGGACAAUGGGGCUGCCCCAUAGCUGCCCCAUAGCUGCCCCAUAGCUGCCCCAUAGCUGCCCCAUGGCUGCCCCAUAGCUGCCCCAUAGCUGCCCCAUGGCUGCCCCAUAGCUGCCCCAUAGCUGCCCCAUAGC